GGUGGUGAGUGAGGUGGGAGUCAGAUCCCGAGGAAGCUUGAGCCAGAUUGUGGAGGGCUUUGUAGGUCGUUGCAGAGAUUUGACUUUUAUCUUGAGUAAGAGGGGAAGUCACUGGAAGCUUUGGAGCAGAGAUGAGACUUACCCUUAAAAGGAUCACUCUGCCUGCUGUGUUGAGAGGAAACUGAAGGUGGACAAGGACAGAGGGAGGGGGAUACGACAGAAGGAGGGAGAUCAGCGAGGAAGCUACUGCAAUAUUCCAGACGUGGGGAAGCACUAAGGGCCUCCUUCUGUUCUGAUGGAGAAACCAUUUUCCCGUGAAGCACGUGCAGGACUUCACCUCCUUCCUGCUGGGUCCACAUGCAGUGUUGGGAACACCACACAACUCAGAGAGCCCAUGUGAAGGCCCUUUGUGAAGAGCUGUGCCUACUGCAAACCCAUUUCUUAACCUACUUCCAGUCGUAUCUUUCACCACAUAACAUUUUAUUUCUUAUUCGCCCAGGAGGAAAUAGAAGUCUUGGGUUAGACAGAAUGGCCUGGUUUAUGGCUUAAUUACACUGCCCCCAAGUGUGAGUUCCUGAGGAUCUACCGCUGGGGUGACCAUCCGUCCCAGUUUGCCCAACACUGAAGGGGUUUUCCAGGACAAGAGACUGCAGUGCUAACACAAGGAAAAUCCACGGCAAAUUGAGAGGAAUUGGUCACCCCACCUACCACAUCUGUGUCAAAGAUAUAGCCUUCACUGCUUUUCUAAGGAUAAACACCCCUGGACGCCAUACUUCUUUUCUUGGUGGGGAGGUGAGAACAGUGCUGAUUCUGUGCCUGUGUAAACAAGGGAGACCUCACGCUAGCUGGCCUGGACAGGGCGAAUGAACCUCAAGAAGAAUUGCCAACCAGACAUUUUCAUUCCAUCGAGCUGCCCCAAAUUUUAUUUUGGGUGUUUUACUUCUAGAAAUCAUCAUCGGCAUUAUUUUUUGGCCAUUUGGAGAGCAGCAAAGAAUAAAGUUUUCCUAAUCUAACUUUUCUGUACUAUUUGGCUAACUUUCCUUUUCACGCAAAAUUAAAAUUUUGCUGUUAGAUAGGAUUCUAAUCAUUAGGGA
rnacentral:lncRNA from 1 species